AUGCGAUAAGUAAUGUGAAUUGCAGAAUUCAGUGAAUCAUCGAAUCUUUGAACGCACCUUGCGCUCCUUGGUAUUCCGAGGA
rnacentral:rRNA from 1 species